rnacentral:rRNA from 1 species
UACGUAGGGUGCAAACGUUAUCCGGAUUUACUGGGCGUAAAGAGCUCGUAGGUGGUUUUGUAAGUCAGAUAUGAAAGACUCAGGCUCAACCUGAGGAACGUAUCUGAAACUGCAUUACUCGAGGUGUGCAGGGGAAGAUGGAACUUACGGUGUAGCAGUGAAAUGCGUAGAUAUCGUAAGGAACGCCAAUGGUGAAGACAGUCUUCUGGGCACUACCUGACACUGAGGAGCGAAAGCGUGGGGAG